rnacentral:rRNA from 2 species
GGUUAAGCGACUAAGCGUACACGGUGGAUGCCCUGGCAGUCAGAGGCGAUGAAGGACGUGCUAAUCUGCGAUAAGCGUCGGUAAGGUGAUAUGAACCGUUAUAACCGGCGAUUUCCGAAUGGGGAAACCCAGUGUGAUUCGUCACACUAUCAUUAACUGAAUCCAUAGGUUAAUGAGGCGAACCGGGGGAACUGAAACAUCUAAGUACCCCGAGGAAAAGAAAUCAACCGAGAUUCCCCCAGUAGCGGCGAGCGAACGGGGAGCAGCCCAGAGCCUGAAUCAGUGUGUGUGUUAGUGGAAGCGUCUGGAAAGGCGUGCGAUACAGGGUGACAGCCCCGUACACAAAAAUGCACAUACUGUGAGCUCGAUGAGUAGGGCGGGACACGUGGUAUCCUGUCUGAAUAUGGGGGGACCAUCCUCCAAGGCUAAAUACUCCUGACUGACCGAUAGUGAACCAGUACCGUGAGGGAAAGGCGAAAAGAACCCCGGCGAGGGGAGUGAAAAAGAACCUGAAACCGUGUACGUACAAGCAGUGGGAGCACGCUUAGGCGUGUGACUGCGUACCUUUUGUAUAAUGGGUCAGCGACUUAUAUUCUGUAGCAAGGUUAACCGAAUAGGGGAGCCGAAGGGAAACCGAGUCUUAACUGGGCGUUAAGUUGCAGGGUAUAGACCCGAAACCCGGUGAUCUAGCCAUGGGCAGGUUGAAGGUUGGGUAACACUAACUGGAGGACCGAACCGACUAAUGUUGAAAAAUUAGCGGAUGACUUGUGGCUGGGGGUGAAAGGCCAAUCAAACCGGGAGAUAGCUGGUUCUCCCCGAAAGCUAUUUAGGUAGCGCCUCGUGAAUUCAUCUCCGGGGGUAGAGCACUGUUUCGGCAAGGGGGUCAUCCCGACUUACCAACCCGAUGCAAACUGCGAAUACCGGAGAAUGUUAUCACGGGAGACACACGGCGGGUGCUAACGUCCGUCGUGAAGAGGGAAACAACCCAGACCGCCAGCUAAGGUCCCAAAGUCAUGGUUAAGUGGGAAACGAUGUGGGAAGGCCCAGACAGCCAGGAUGUUGGCUUAGAAGCAGCCAUCAUUUAAAGAAAGCGUAAUAGCUCACUGGUC